rnacentral:misc_RNA from 1 species
CCGAGAUUCCUCCCCGGCGGGCCGUCCAAUGAUCCUACUACCCGUUCUGGCGACCUCGUCACUCCAUUCCUCUCGAAUGCAGAGAAUCAGCAUUCAAUCCAAGGCAGUGCACCCAAGCAACAAAUAACCUACAAUGCUACUCUACCGUCCUCACAGCUGACUUUGCUGAAAUCUUCCACAAUAUCUCUUGAAUUCCUCGCUCCUCCGCUUUCGAAUAAAAGCUACGGACUGCGACAUCGAUCCCCCCUCAUCCGAUGCCGAAAUGCUACUGCUCAAGGUGCUGAUUUCGUUUGGGCCAAGACAAGCAGUCAAGUGGCGAUGUAACUGCUGAUUUGUUUCUGGCCACUCAAUUUUCAGAUGUGGCUACGGUAGUUUAAGUAUUUGUUGCUGGCCAGUCAAUUUUCAGAUGUGGCUACGAUAGUUUGUGUAAAAGUAUAGAGGGUUAAACUCGAGCAUGUGAGUUCUAGAGAUGUUGUAGAGGUGGGUUGUGCAUGGGAGUCUCCGGCCUCACUACACGGCAUGAGAACCAAAGUUGGUAUAUGCACCAAUCCCGAUGCUGUUAGCGUAGGAUUUGGUAUGAAAACCUCUUUGGGUUCAGUG